rnacentral:tRNA from 1 species
AUUUAAAUAGUUUAUUAAAAUGAUGAUUUGUGGAAUCAUUGAUGCUUAUAUUGGCUUUAAAUUU